GGGGGAACUGAAACAUCUAAGUACCCCGAGGAAAAGAAAUCAACCGAGAUUCCCCCAGUAGCGGCGAGCGAACGGGGAGCAGCCCAGAGUCUGAAUCAGCUUGUGUGUUAGUGGAACGGUCUGGAAAGUCCGACGGUACAGGGUGAUAGUCCCGUACACCAAAAUGCACAGGUUGUGAACUCGAAGAGUAGGGCGGGACACGUGGUAUCCUGUCUGAAUAUGGGGGGACCAUCCUCCAAGGCUAAAUACUCCUGACUGACCGAUAGUGAACCAGUACCGUGAGGGAAAGGCGAAAAGAACCCCGGCGAGGGGAGUGAAAAAGAACCUGAAACCGUGU
rnacentral:rRNA from 1 species